rnacentral:rRNA from 1 species
UGAGUACGAGAUGCUACGGCGUCGAAGCAGUCUAGGUCAUACUUCCAAGAAAAGCUUGCACUGUCAUAAACAAAGAAUGCCUGUACCAUAACCGACACAGGUGGGUAGGUAGAGUAUACUAAGGGGCGCGAGAUAACUCUCUCUAAGGAACUCGGCAAAAUGACUCCGUAACUUCGGGAGAAGGAGUGCCUUAUUUUUAAGGUUGCAAUAACAAGAUCCAAGCAACUGUUUACCAAAAACACAGGUCUCCGCUAAGUCGUAAGACGAUGUAUGGGGGCUGACGCCUGCCCAGUGCCAGAAGGUUAAAGAAGUUGGUUAGCAUUUGCGAAGCUGAUAACUGAAGCCCUGGUGAACGGCGGCCGUAACAAUAACGGUCCUAAGGUAGCGAAAUUCCUUGUCGGGUAAGUUCCGACCCGCACGAAAGGCGUAAUGAUUUGGAUACUGUCUCGGAGAGGGGCUCGGUGAAAUAGACUUGUCUGUGAAGAUGCGGACUACCUGCACCUGGACAGAAAGACCCUAUGAAGCUUUACUGUAACUUGAGAUUGAAAUUGGACUUUAUUUGCGCAGUAUAGGUGGGAGGCGUUGAGAAUAAUCUUGCGGGAUUAUCGGAGCCAUCAGUGAGAUACCACUCUUGUAAUGUUAGAUUUCUAACUUUGUAUCAUUAUCUGGUCAAAGAACAGUUUCAGGCGGGCAGUUUGACUGGGGCGGUCGCCUCCCAAAGGGUAACGGAGGCGCACAAAGGUUUCCUCUGAACGGGUAGAAAUCGUAUCUAGAGUGUAAAGGCAUAAGGAAGCUUGACUGUGAGACCUACAAGUCGAGCAGGGACGAAAGUCGGUCUUAGUGAUCUGACGGUGCUGAGUGGAAAGGCCGUCACUCAACGGAUAAAAGUUACUCUAAGGAUAACAGGCUGAUCUCCCCCAAGAGUUCGCAUCGACGGGGAGGUUUGGCACCUCGAUGUCGGCUCAUCGCAUCCUGGGGCGGUAGUACGUCCCAAGGGUUGGGCUGUUCGCCCAUGAAAGCGGUACGCGAGCUGGGUUCAGAACGUCGUGAGACAGUUCGGUCCAUAUCCGGUGUAGGCGUUGGAAUAUUGAAAGGAGCCUUCUCUAGUACGAGAGGACCGAGAAGGACAUACCUCUGGUGUGCCAGUUAUCGUGCCAACGGUAAACGCUGGGUAGCUAUGUAUGGAGUGGAUAACCGCUGAAAGCAUCUAAGUGGGAAGCCCACCUUAAGAUAAGUAUUCUCAUC